rnacentral:rRNA from 1 species
UACGGGGGGAGCAAGCGUUGUUCGGAUUUACUGGGCGUAAAGGGCGCGUAGGCGGCCACCGCAAGUCGACUGUGAAAUCUCCGGGCUUAACCCGGAAAGGUCAGCCGAUACUGCGGGGCUAGAGUGCAGAAGGGGCAACUGGAAUUCUCGGUGUAGCGGUGAAAUGCGUAGAUAUCGAGAGGAACACCUGCGGCGAAGGCGGGUUGCUGGGCUGACACUGACGCUGAUGAGCGAAAGCAUGGGGAGCGAACAGG